GACAGAGGGUGCAAACGUUGUUCGGAAUUACUGGGCGUAAAGCGCGUGUAGGCGGCUAAGUAAGUCGGGCGUGAAAUCCCACGGCUCAACCGUGGAAGUGCACUCGAAACUGCAUAGCUAGAGUCCUGGAGAGGAAGGUGGAAUGCUUGGUGUAGAGGUGAAAUUCGUAGAUAUCAAGCAGAACACCGGUGGCGAAGGCGGCCUUCUGGACAGUGACUGACGCUGAGACGCGAAAGCGUGGGGAGCAAACAGG
rnacentral:rRNA from 1 species